AACGCAUCUUGCGCUCCUUGGUAUUCUGAGGAGCAUACCUGUUUGAGUGUCGUGAUAUUUUCAACUUUUAAUUCAGACUAGAUUAGAAUCUUAAAGUUGGAUGUGGGGGAAAGUAAAUUGCUAGUAGUCGUUAUGAACAAGAUGCUAGCUCCCCUUAAAAAUAUAAGCAUAGAAACUAACUACAUUGAUCUCUCAGUAUGAUAACUAUUUUAUACUGUGAUAUCUUUAUUAUAGUAUUACUUAUGCUUUUAAGUAGUAGUUUCACUAUUUUUAAUAGUAAACUAUAUUUUGACAUCUGACCUCAAAUCAGGUAGGACUACCCGCUGAACUUAA
rnacentral:misc_RNA from 1 species